CUUCUAGGAAUCCAUCUUCAACUAGGAAUCCUUCGUCGAUUAGGAAUCCUUCUUCAUGUAAGCACUUUCCUACUUCAACUAGGAAACCUUGUUCAAGUAGGAAUCAUCAUCUUCAAGUCUUCAAAUUCAUCCAAACCCUUGGCUCCAAAUAUGUGGCAUUCAUUCCAAGCUCCAUUUUGCUCCAAAAGGCUCCAAAAUGCAUC
rnacentral:lncRNA from 1 species